CCCCUGGUCUUCCCCUAAAUGGGGGCACUGUCAGUGUACCCCCCAGGUCCCUAAAUGGGGGCACCGGCACGGUGUGGGGACACGGGUGACACUACCCAAAUGGGACUCAUCAUGGUGUGUGGGGACACAGGGUCCCCCUCCCCAAAUAGGAACUGUCAGGGUGCGUGGGGACCCUGUCACAGUGCCCUCCCCCCCCUCCAAAAAAAUGGGGACACCAUCACAGCGUACGGGGACACGGGGUGCCCCCUCCCCCUAAUAGGGACACCAUCACAACCCCCAAAUCGGAACCAUCGCGGUGUGUGGCAACACAGCUGACACCCCCCACCCCCCAAAAAAAAAAUAAUAGGGCCACCACCCCAUUGCGUGGGGCCUUGGGGUUGCCCCCCCGUGAUCCACCCUGGGCGUGGGGCUGCCCCUACCCCACCUACAUAUGGGGUGGGUGCUGUGUGGAUCCUGUGACCCCCAAAAUUUUGGUAGCCAGAAAAUGUUUCGUGGUCCCGCGGCUGCCGGGAGGAGGUUCGGAACAAAAAUAAAUGGAGAAGAAGUGGGUGCAAACGGGGAUGGGAUCCAGGAGAACUUUGCUGUAGUGUGUCAUAAAGGUGUGUUUGAAAAUAUAUCAGCAAGGCUGCACCAAAAUCCGGGAGAUUCGAAGUCAGCUGCAGUUCUUAGAGUUUGUCGGGUCAAAAAAAUGUUUGUUUUUUUUUCUUUUUGACUGGUUUAUGGAUUGGAAGCGUUGUGUUUGCUGCUUUUUGUGGGAUUUUAACCUUCUGGCUGGACGUGGUGCUUGUGUCUAAGCUCACAAUGGCACCCUGCUGCCUGCUGUGGUUAUUCCUUCUUGGUGUGAUUUCUCACCCCAUCCCCGCACCGAAACACAGGAGGAAAUGCUGAAUUUGGGGACACGUUGGUGCUGCUGGGGGCCGCAACGAGGCCACGUUGCUUCCUGCCCCCCCGUAGGGCUCAUCGAGUGCGUGCAACCCUGGCUGGGGAGCUCUGGUGACCAUGGUUGUGUAGCCCUGAAGUUUUACGGUGAGCAUUUACCUCUUGGCAAAGCAGGAGGUCACCCCAAAGUCCCUAAAACUGGAAUUUUGGGCUCUGCUUUCUGCCUGGCCACAUUACCCACCCUAAUAAUCCACGGGGAUCGCUUAAGGGAGGCCAUAAACGCUCCCCCCUGGGGCCGAGCUCCCAAGCGCCGCUCUAAUGAGCCCGUUCUGAACGCUGCUUAAUGAAAUCUUGUCCUCGGAGGCUCUUUUAUUCCGUGUGAUGCUCCGUGCCCCUGUGAACGUGUGGAGUUUGAUUUUUGGGAGGCCGCUCGGAAGGGUCAAGAGCUCAACAUUCGGCGUGGAGGCGCCGCAGCAGGAAAGAAGGGAUGGAAAAUAACCACGGAGGACAGGAGUGGGUGGCCAAGCGUGGAAAGGAGGAGCUCAGCGCUCAGGAUGGAACAGCAAACCUGCAUUUUAUGGGGUGCUGAGGGGGCUGGACCCCCCCCUCAGGAAUAAAAUCAUCUAACAAUCAUCACGUCUGCGCCUUUCCCGCAGGGGCAGCAGCCCGGGGCUUGAAUUCGCAAGCAAUUAAAAGCCCAGCCUUAGCUUUGGCCCCGGCUUGACACUUGAAAGAUGAGCAAGGUGAAGCAAUUCCGGCUUUCGGAGCCGUGUUUGACCUUUCAGGUUUCCUUUUCGACUCCGUCUGCUGCGUUGUAAAACAACGCCACGGUUCAGCUCCAACAAGGGUAAAACCCAGCGUAAAGCAGCGAGCUGGGGAGCCCAGCCUUGGGUACGCUGAAAAACAACGAGGCUGAAGGAACAGAAUUGCUCCAAAUCGCCCCAAAUCACGGCGGCAGGGUGCAGAAAGCAUCCGCCUCGCUCUUUUCUUUGUUUUUUUGGUUUUUUUCCUCUCCGGUUUUGCAGGUUUGAGCCAGGGGUCCAAGAGCAGAACCUCGGUCGCGUGGAGGAGGCAGCCAACGUCCUGCUAAGGCCCUGGCAGGGGGAAGAGCUGCAGAAAAGUGGCAGGAUCUGCCUGGUGGAUGGAGGGGGCAGGCUGAGAAACCAGCUCCAGCCCCUGGAUGAUGCCAGGCACCGCUUGCUCAGGGCUGACAGGGAGGGAAAGGCUGCACGGAGGAUAAAAUAAACCUCAAGCCUCGCACCGAGCCAGCUCCACGCAGCUCAUGCUGUGCAUUUGUAGCCCUCCCUCCCCAAAAAAAAAAGGUCUGAAUGGGGAGAAAUCAGUGUGAGAAAGCACGCCUGAGGAACGUGAAAUGGUGACUCCUCGGGGAGCUGUGAGGAUUCGAGGUUAAGGAUUUCUGUUUAUUUUUUAACAUUAUGAAUGAAGAAUGCUCAGGUUGCCCAAAGUCGUUCCCUGCUCUGUGGAUCCGAUGUUCACACCGAUGCUCUUACCCUGCAGCGUAAGCUCUCCCACAGUUUGCACCAUGAGGAGAGAACCUUGGACUGUUUUUAACUUAUUCCAACAUUGUUAUUGGGGAAAAGUGCCCGUAUAACUACAUAAAUAUGGACGGAAGCGCUUAUUUUAGCAGAAAUGUGCACAAAAACCUCAAGUGGAGCAGUUCCUAAAGGGAUCAGAGGCUUCUGAGCGAGCUUCCAGAGGACCCGGUGACCAGCAGAAGUGGGUGACAUUUGCAGGGACUUGCUCAUCUCCUUUUUAUGGAAGGAAGGAAGAAGGAAAUAAGGAAGGAAGGAAGAUAACCAACAUUUUUCCCGUUCAUAACCAGGUACGAAAACCUUACAGAGGUCGUUUUGCCAGAGCAGGGCUUGUGCCAUCCUAUUCUUCGUGGCACGCGGCUCCUGUGCUGGAGCUGCCUGGUGUCUGCCCGGCUCCAGCCGUCCUCUGCCUGCACCCUCCUGCGUGGACUUGCCCGUAGGAGCCUCAUUGCCGAAAAACAGCCUAAUUACAGCAUUUAGCAACCAAGCCCUGCUCCUGCAGCCUCCUCCCUGUGCUUUGUGGCUGCCCCGGGGGCAAAGCCUGAGUCCAGCCCCAAAGCCGCAUCCUGUCCACUGCCCAAGGCGGCUCCCCAGCCUCAGUGGUCUCCGAAAAGCUCUUUUAGCCUUUUGCUACGCGAAACAUUCAAAUUUUGCUGCUUUUUGGGGCCAGAAAUAGGCGGAAACUGCAUUUUUCGUGAGCGUCAGAGGAGAGGAAAGCCAGUCAUAAAACGAGCUGGCUGUCCAGAGCUGCUCUGCUUCGAAUUUUCUUCCGAAGGCAAGGAUUUAAAACCAGGAGGAGUGCGAACAUGCCUUCACCCGACAGCCUGGAGGCUUGGCUUGGUAUUUACUUAACGGGGCACGAGGUGAUGGGCGUUUAAUCCCAAAGUUAUGUGAGAAAAUCCCGGGAAUGGCCCGUUCCCAUCAAAGUGACUCAGGGACCAAUUUAGCAGAGGGCUGGCGGCGGGGUCGGGCUGCUCGCUGUUCCCAGCUCGCCUUCCAGUUACCCCGCAGCUCGCUGACUCACUUUUGGUGUUCUCUCCGUGACUUUGGGGCUUACGGAGGCGGGGAAAUCUGCUCGGGGCGGCUUUGGUGCUGGCCCAGAUAAUUGCUAUUGUUCGCAGAGCGCACGAAACGGGCUCGAUGUGGGAUUAUAAAAAAAGAGAAACCCACCAAAAACCUGCUACUUUCUGGGGUGGGAAGGUUGCUACCAAAAAUCCAGUGUUUCACAGAGACCAGUUUGGCCUUAAACGAGUGGCUUUUGGUCACGCUGAGCUGCUUGGCUCGUGCCAAAUCCCGUCCCGGUUUUGCCGUGUGCGCGUUCAGGAGUCAGGAAGAAAAUCCCUUUUUGUUUCCAGGUAACUGCAGCCGAUUCUCUCGAAGGUAUUUGGCUGUGUAAGGGGUCAGCACUUCGGUGCGCCCCCAGCAGCUGGUAUUUUGGGUUCCAGUGCAGAAAUCCAGAAAUCCACGGUGCGAACGAGUGCGUGCCCGCUCCCUCCUCUUCCUCACCUUCCCCUCGGCCUCUCCUGAGGCUGCAGCGGGUUGGGGAGGUGAGGAUCAGAGAAAAGGCCAGGAGGCGAGGGGUAACAUGUCGUGUACAUUUCUUUCUGUAUAAUUAUGCUCUGGGCUGCCACGAGCCACGUGGCGGCGUGUCCCGCGGGUGGCUGCGUGCCUGGGCCGCGUGCUGGGAAGGUGAGAAGUUCACCGGGCUCGGUGACAUUUGCUGUCACCCCUCGGAGGGUUUGAGUCCUGUGGGGCUGAUUUUUAAAGCCGUUCGGAGCCAGGACACGAGCUCUGCCCUGCUGGGGACGGGGCUUUUGGGAUAACACGGACCCCAAAGUGAAUUAAAUCCCAGGACGCUGCGGUGGUUGGCAUCACAUCGUGGGUUUUUGUUACUUCUGAGUGUUUAAUCCUUUAAAUCUGAAAGCGAAGGUGUCGAGCACUCACUGUGGGUUUCUUAUUUAUUUAUUUAUUUUUUUACAUGUGACACUAUUGGUGUGUGUAAUCCCAAGGUUUUAUUUCUGUAGGGGAAAAAAGCCCGGGCUGAUUCUCAGAGCCUUAGCGUGAACCUAGCGAGCUGUUCAGCGCUGUGAAAAGAGGUAGGAGGGGAAGGAAGAUUUGUCUUCCAGAACACAGCCUCCUCGGCCCUGCAGCCUGACUGCAAACGGGUGCCUUACGGCUCCCUUGGGUGCUGCUGGGGGAAAAUCACCCCCCUUUCAGCCUCCUGCUCUCCCCUUUGGAAUUCGGUGCCCCCAGUCCACCCACCCUCGAUGCCAACAGAUAUUUGGGGGCCUCCUGCCUCGAAGGAGCUGCCCUGUGUCCCUCCGAAGCUUGUCUUUGUGGUGAUGCCCGGGGCAGGCUGACCGUGUUGGGGUGUUGGGGUGUGAAACCUUCACCCCAGGUGAGCUGGGAGCUGUGAUACCACAGCUCCUGAGGGUGGGGGGAUCAAUCAUGGGCCUUUCCUCUUCCUCCAUCAGCUUUUAGCCAGCAAUUUGCCCUUCUUCUAUAACACACCGACUCCUGUGAAGGCCAAACAGCACGAAACGCUUUAUUACUACAGGUGGUAACUUACUCAGCACCCUACACCUUGCAUCCUCCCAAACAGUUCCCUUUUUUCCACGCUUGGAUCAAACACCCCGAGUCCUAACCCCUGACCCAUCCGAGCUGCCCGGGAGCUUUUUGUAGGGGCCAGAAAGGUGAGAUUCCUCUCCGUCAGGAACAAAACACCCGAUACCAAGCGCUGACACCGUGCCAGGGCUCUGCCAGAUCGCUGCCUCCUCUGCUCCUGCUUCACGUGAGCGGCCGAAAUCUGUUCCUCCUGCUCUGAUGGAUGCUGCGAGCCAACCUGCUGGGAAAACCUCAGCUGGAGGCGUGGAGGGGGUGGUUUCGUUGCCACCUCGGCUCUCCUGCAAUUAUUUCCUAGCAGAAGCCUGGAUUUCAGCUGGAGGGGGGUGGGGGGGAAAAACCCCGGAGAGGAGAAUAACCAAGCAACCAAACAACCAGGGGGAGAGGCGCCGAAUCCUGGCCCACCCCUGGUUUUUGUCGCCUGGCUUUGUAACGUGGUUAAAUAACGCCAAGAUGAGCACAAUGCAAGCAGAACAAAUUAGGCUUCGGCACCAGAAUCGUGGGAGGGGAAGGCUCUUACACUGCUCUCGUGCCUCCUCGCCUGAGCAGCAUCCUGCCGCGCUGCCUUCCCACCCCGUGCUGCUGGUCCUACAAAAGCCGUUUAAUUUCUUUUUAAUUUUCUUGUUUAAUUUCUUUUUGGGGGUUUGCUAACGGGAGGCGUCGCGUUGCAGGUGGCAGGCUCUGCCAGCUCUUAGGGUUCUCCCUUCUGUGCCCUGUUUAUCCAGAUAAGGUCUUUUGCUCGGUUUUUGGCCCGUGUGGCUCAUCCGAAGUUCAUGGGCAUCGUAGGAAAUGGGAUUUUGUAGGACGUUGAAGUGCCAAACCUUUUUUAAAGCCUCUGUUUUCUGCUCCUGGCGGGUUGGGGUCUGUGUGCGAGGGGCUGCGUCUGCUCCGGCCCUAGUGGGGUUGGAAAAACUUCUCUUUCUGCCUCUAAUUUAAUAGGGGAUCACACGGGGCUGUCUGGAAACCAGCCUGCAGGGCAGAUCACCAAAAGCUGCUCCCAAAACUUUGCUCUCCUGAGUCUUGAUGACUGGAUGGGGGCCUUGCCUUGUGCCCUGCUGUCUCUGAGCUCCUGCAGAGGGGCCCCGCUGCCCUGUUGUGCCCGAGCUGCUGGAGCACUGCAGGUGUCUCCUCCUCUGAACCCGCUGGGUUGAUGCUCCGCGCCUGAUUUUAAGGACCUGAAACCCAAAAGGCAAACUGGAACAGAUCUGGGAGAGCUUCUGUCUAGACUAAGGUCAGCUGAGCUUAUUACGGCUCUGUUUAAAUUACAGGAAUAUUUUCCAGCCCUCAAAGGAGGAACGUGGAAGCUGCAGUUGGAGACCUCUCCCUGCUCCCUACUCCAGGAUGGUCACCUCACGUUGUUUUAUUCUCCCCAAAAUCACCAGGAGUCCUUCUUUCAGCCCCUCUGACGUGAUGCCGUGUCACCGUACCCCCUUUCCUUUUCCUCCCUAAGAAAACCGAAAAUUUACUUGCCUAAACAAACCAAAAGUUUCGCUUCUGCUCUGGCUUUGGCUCACCCCCAGCUUCUGCACGCACGGGGCGCUCGCUGGGGACAGAAACAGAAGCAGCAGUUCCCAGAACAAAACAGGUUUGUGUUUUGUGUUUUUCCCUUUUUUUUUUUUUUCCUCCUUUUUGCGUCAACAACCUCUGCGACAAUCCAGGCUUUUAAAUGGGCUUAAAUUGGGUUAUUCAGUGCUAAUGUUAUGCAAGACUCCUGAUUAGCGGUGUGUGGAGCCUUGAGUUGCGAGACGACUCGGAGCUGUGAUGGAAUUAAGGUAACCAUGGCAACUAUUAUCAUUAAAAUCGGCUCCAGCCCGGGCUGGUGCUGGAGCCCUUGGCCUGGCUGCUGCGUGUGGCACUGCGAGGCCUUUCCCCAUGAAGCUGCCAGCUUCCUCACGUGCUUUUUCAGCCUUUCUUCCCCUAAAAGUCCAGUUUUUAAGCACGGAGCUGCCAAGUUUUUGAGCACAGGGCACUCCUCACCCGAGGAGUGGGUCCGGGUGAUCACGGCCCGCUCACCCUUAGUGGCUCCUCCAGCUCAUGCGCAGUCAGGUCCCCUAAUUUGGCUUAAUUAUACCAGCUGCUGGCUCUGGGAAAAACAUUCUCCAAUGAUUUUUACCUGUUUAUUUCAACGUUGUCUUACUCCUGAGCGAGGACUCACCCGCAGAUGUCUCUGGAUGCGUUCAGCAGUGCUGGUUCAUCCUCCCAACCCUCCUUUGCGUGGUCAGCGCUCCUUGCUGCUGAGUCCUCGCUGAAUUUUGAGCUGUUCUGCCCUUUUUGGACCAGCUUCUUUGCUGCACUGCCUCGAGCAGCUGGCUUUCAAACGGGUCCUUCAUCCUGGAGGAGAGGCAGAGGAGGAGAGGGGGACAAGAGCAUUUCUCCUGUGCUGCCACCCUUCGCCAUCGUGUCUUGGGAUUGGCAUCUCGCCUGUCUCUGAGCUUGCCAUCAAGUAGGAUGAAGGUGUUUGAGGUCUCUGCUGGCCUUCUGCCCCUUAUUAAUCGGGAAUUAUUCAUGGGGAAUGCGAGGAGAUGGGAUGCUGCCACCUGUGGCUCUUCCUGGUGGGCUCAAGGGCACGGUGAGGACGUGGUAACGGAGCCUCUGUCACUGGGAAAUGCUCCACAAAGCUUUUGGUUUGUAAAUAGCUUUGGUACGGGUGGUAGCCCCUAAUGUUUAACUGAAUACGGUCCAAGUUGGUGCAGCAGUAGGAGUAAAAAGAAAAGGAGCAGAAAGGUGAAAAUAAAUUGAACUUGUUUCAACUUGUUGGGGGGAGCCCUCAACAACUACAAGGAUCCUCAGCUGAGAAUAGUAAGGAAGGAGAGAUGUUCUGCAGGUGGAUGUGCAAGGACCCGUUCUCACCCACGUGGCGGAGGAAAAUAAACUCUCCUUGUGCAGGACGCAGCCUCCUGUGGAUAGGAGGGGACUUUUAAAGGAAGGAGGAGAGGAAGAGAAGCUCCACGUGGUUCUCCAGCUGAGCUUUUUUGUGGUAUUAAAUCGACCUUGGGCCAGUUGCUCCAGCUACUUGUACCUCCCUCCGAUAAAUCGGGCAGUGUCGCUUCUCUCCCCUGAGUGGGGACGCCUGCUUCAUCGAGUGCUCUGUGCGGUGUCCGUACAGCGCUGCUCGAAGACCCUUUGCAGCUACAAGAUGGAUGAAAUGAGAAUUUCCUGGUGCUUUUUUGGGGUGCUUUCCCCCAGCUCUGCCCUCCUGCAGCCCUUCCGUGUCCUGUGGCCGCACCGCUCCACGCUCCCGAUUCCUCCCUGCCUGCUGACCCACUGCUUCUCCCAGCCAUUCCCCUCCUCCUGCAUAAACCCUGCUCCAUCGUGGUCUUCAGGACUCAUUUUUUGGACAUCCACAGAGAUCCAGGAGAGGGUGGAAGCAUCCCAGGAGGGUAGGAAGGAGCGUGGGGGCGUGCAGAGAGCUCACCAAAAGAGUGGCCGUGCUCCUGGCUGCCUGGUGCUUGUGCUCUUCCAGGAGGCUCCGUGCCCCACGGGAUUUCCUGAGCUUUUAGAGGGAAACAGUCAGCAAAAUGACCCUUUAGAGGGAAACACUACAGCAAAACGACCCCAAAGGAGUCAUCUCAUACACAUAAAGUGUUCUCAGUCGCCGUGCGUCGCGAGACGGCUGCCACGAGACCUCUCCUCCUGCCUCGCCUUUCUUCCGAGGGGCGUUAGCUGCUGGCACAGCAAUCACAAAAUGCCAGAGCAGCUGCUUUUCCAGCGUGGAAAGUCUGACCAAGCCGGGUUUUUGGAAGUUGUGUGAGGCAGGACUGGAGCUGUGGCAGCAGCUCGGGCUGAUUCAUCGAGCGCGCGUGUGAUUUUUGGAGGCUCUUCCUUCGGUAACCCAGCGGCAGAACCAAGUAGGUGCACGCAGCCCCGCUGAGCUUCCCGGACACAGCUGGAGCUGCACAAAGCUUUUUUCAUACCGCAGGGACCCCGAGCUGCUCUUUUCUCCCGUGUGUUCGUUUGUUCUUUGUUUCCUGCUCUUUGUCCUUGCUUUAAAGGAACAGCAGCCUGCCGAUGGUGGCACUGAUAAGAGGGUGUUGAUAAGGGUGGUACGGAAGGGGAAGGGGCAGCCUCGCGCUAGAUUUGUGUGCAACCACAGACCAGCAUCGAGCAGAAUUUAGGUUCUCCCUCCCCACUUAAAAAUUAACCAAGCAUCUUUAAGAAAUUUAUCCUCCAGCUUCAUCCAGGAGGUGAAAGGAGCCACGGGCUCUGCCAAGCUUCGUCUUCGAGCUCAGAGGAAUUCUGCUCCUUCGCCGGUUUCUCCCCUUGACAGGGCAGGGGGAAGGGUGACCUCGGGCAGAAAGGCAGGGCAGAAAUCCGUGCCAGCGAGCCCCGACGAGUGAGUUUGGUUCACCCGUCCCACUUCACCCUUCCCCUUCUGCCCGGAGGUUGGGCAAGGCUGCUGAAUCACUUGGCUGAUCCCCCGAGGGAUCCUGCUCCUGCUCCCACCUUCCUGCACCUCCUCUUUCAGCCCUUUUGGCUCCUCUUGCAAAACAAAUUGAGGGCGGCGGGGCUGGGGAGCAGUGCGUGGACCAGCAGGGAGGAGGAGGAGGAGGAGAAGGGUGAGUGGAGGAAGAGCAGAGCAGCCUUUCCCUUCCAGCUCAAGCAGCUCUUCAUCCACAGCGCCAAUUAACAGCACCCUGAGUCGUUUGCUGCCUCUCUCUGCAGUCUCCCUGCUGACGAGUCGGCGGCUGCCAGGGAAUUAAAAACGUUCCCUUCAAGGAGGAUGACGGCAGCGGGUGUGGGCAAAUUCGUUUUCCAAAUUGUCAAGAACGAAGCAGAAGAAUCCUCCAGAGCUCCCGAGCCGUCAAGCUUCCUCGUCGCUAGUUAGUUUCUGAGAAAUUUGGAACGGAGGAACAGAAAUGUCACGGAACAGAUUUCGGAAACAAAUAGAGAGGGGGAGAACAAGCAGCAAACCAGCAGAAGGGCACGUUCCCAGCACGUUAUAAUACAUCAGGUUGGCAAAUACCUCCCUGUGCAGAGGAGCACCGUGCUGUAAAAGCUUUCUUCGUGCCGCUGAGGUUUGCGUUGUUUUUCCCCAAAAAGGGGGACGGCGCUUGCAGUAAGCACUUGCGUUGUGUGCAGGUUUAGGUGCCUGAAUCUAAUAUUUGGGUCUUAAAAUAACCGAGAGCUGAUGGAAAGCAGAGUAGGUGAGCUGAAUUUCCCGGGGGCUUUGCCGGGGAUGCUGCAGGUGAGGAGGCAGAGCCCUGCGCCCGCCUGGGCAGGGAAGAGGGUGGUGGAGAGACCAGCCUGGUUCCCCCAGCGGGUUGGGGUGGCCUCGGUGACCCUAAAUGUGCUCCCCUGGGGUUGUGUGGGGCUGGCUGUGUUUAGAUUUGUGUGUUGGGGUCUGGGUUUCCCACAAACACAGACUGGGGAACGGGAGUGUGGCAUAACAGGGGGCUUGGAAAGCAGGCCGGCACGCCGUGGCUCUUCCUGCUGAAGGAAGAGGCUUUCCAGAUCUCGGUGCCAAAUUGCCAGUGCUCUUUUAACCUUGAUCACAAAUGGCUCUGUUUUAGUUGUCAGAAGUCCCUUUAUCCCCGUAUCCUUUAUCCCCCUCAGCACUUACUCCUUUGGUUUAUUUAUUGCCUGCCCACAGCCAGGUUUUCAAACCAAAGCUCGCUCCUCGGCGCGUGGUUUUUGGUUUGUGUGUGGUUGGGUUUUGACUUCGCCUCUUGAUUUCUGUCCUCUUCAUAACCAACGUUAAAUAAAUCCUUAGGAAGCCAAUGAAACAUCCUUCAGCAUUCUUGUUCUCACCUGGUGAACACGAGGGAAGAGUUUUUCUCUUUCCUGCCCUGGCCAGCCCUCAGCCGUGCCGUGAUGGACAAACUGGAGCUCCCCGAGAGCAGAGCAGUUUAAAAGUGCUCCACGCUGGAAAUGUCCCCUGGAACCACUUCUCCAUCACUCCCCCAGUUCUUCUCCUUAAAUUUUAUUCCCCUCUAAU